rnacentral:rRNA from 1 species
GACGAACGCUGGCGGCGUGCUUAACACAUGCAAGUCGUACGGUAAGGCCCUUUCGGGGGUCCACGAGUGGCGAACGGGUGAGUAACACGUGAGUAACCUGCCCACAACUUUGGGAUAACGCUAGGAAACUGGUGCUAAUACUGGAUAUGUGCUCCUGCUGCAUGGUGGGGGUUGGAAAGCUCCGGCGGUUGUGGAUGGACUCGCGGCCUAUCAGCUUGUUGGUGGGGUAGUGGCCUACCAAGGCGGCGACGGGUAGCCGGCCUGAGAGGGUGACCGGCCACAAUGGGACUGAGAUACGGCCCAGACUCCUACGGGAGGCAGCAGUGGGGAAUAUUGCACAAUGGGCGCAAGCCUGAUGCAGCAACGCCGCGUGCGGGAUGACGGCCUUCGGGUUGUAAACCGCUUUCAGCAGGGACGAAGCUUUUUGUGACGGUACCUGCAGAAGAAGCACCGGCUAACUACGUG